AGCAGCGUGGCUCAGUGGAAAGAGCACGGGCUUGGGAGCCAGAGGUCAUGGGUUCGAAUCCCUCCUCUGCCA
rnacentral:tRNA from 1 species